AAUUGGAGGGCAAGUCUGGUGCCAGCAGCCGCGGUAAUUCCAGCUCCAAUAGCGUAUAUUAAAGUUGUUGCAGUUAAAAAGCUCGUAGUUGAAUUUCGGGAUUGACACAUCGGUCGUGCCUUAAGGGGUAUGAACUGGUGUAGUCAAUUUCUCACCUUCUGGAGAACCGCGAUGCCCUUAAUUGGGUGUCACGGGGAACCAGGACCUUUACUUUGAAAAAAUUAGAGUGUUUAAAGCAGGCAUUUUGCUUGAAUACAUUAGCAUGGAAUAAUAAAAUAGGACGGCAUGAUUCUAUUUUGUUGGUUUCUAGGAUCACCGUAAUGAUUAAUAGGGAUAGUUGGGGGCAUUAGUAUUCAAUUGUCAGAGGUGAAAUUCUUGGAUUUAUUGAAGACUAACUACCGCGAAAGCAUUUGCCAAGGAUGUUUUCAUUAAUCAAGAACGAAAGUUAGGGGAUCGAAGACGAUCAGAUACCGUCGUAGUCUUAACCAUAAACUAUGCCGACUAGGAAUCAGACGAUGUUAAUUUUUUAAUGACUCGUUUGGCACCUUACGGGAAACCAAAGUGU
rnacentral:rRNA from 1 species